GCGGCGACGGUGGUGGUGAAACCCUAGGGGCCACAACCACUGGCAGAUUGCCAAAAUUUUCAGCGGAAGCGGCCGUGAGAAGGAGUGGGGGCUCCCAAUAUGCGAGGGGGACGGCGUCACACGGCUCCUCGAGGGCAGAUCGGCGACCGGAGCGGCGAGGCGGCAGUGGGUCCGUCGGAGACGUGGUCGCUGGUCGAGAGGGUCGUCGUUUAGACGAAGAAGACGAUCCCCUGGUGUUCUUUCGUUUCCCCAUGAAGAUGUUCCUUGAUUUCCUUCGAUUUGGUGGAAAUUUUGGGAAGUUUUGCUGCAAACAAAUAAGACGGAGCAACAAGGCAGUAGGGAAGAAGAAGAAAGGAAAUUUGGGGAGAAAAAAAAAACUUGAAAAAAAGGAUUAAGCAGAGAUGACUGUUGGCCUUCUUAUGGGUAUUUUAGCAAUUAGGAAAAAUAUAGUGAAAAAGUUGCAAAUAUUAUUCUGCCAACAAUGAGAGCAGUUAAUGAAAACCAAAGUCAGAUAUAGCAACUCUCAAACUUCACAUAUGAAGCCCAACACAGUUCAAGA
rnacentral:lncRNA from 1 species